UGGAACAUAGCUCAUUGGUAGAGUAUUUGCCUUUCAUGCUUAAAGCCUGGGUUCAAUUCCCAGUACUUAAA
rnacentral:tRNA from 1 species